rnacentral:rRNA from 1 species
CCUACGGGUGGCAGCAGUGAGGAAUAUUGGUCAAUGGGCGUAAGCCUGAACCAGCCAAGUCGCGUGAGGGAUGAAGGUUCUAUGGAUCGUAAACCUCUUUUAUAAGGGCAUAAAGUGUGGGACGUGUCCUAUUUUGUAUGUACCUUAUGAAUAAGGAUCGGCUAACUCCGUGCCAGCAGCCGCGGUAAUACGGCGGAGCCGAGCGUUAUCCGGAUUUAUUGGGUUUAAAGGGUGCGUAGGCGGCCUUUUAAGUCAGCGGGGAAAGGAUGUGUCGCAACCAUAUAAAUGCCUUUGAAACUGGGGGGCUUGAGGAUGCUUGAGGCAGGCGGAAUGCGUGGUGUAGCGGUGCAAUGCUUAGAUAUCACGCAGAACCCCGAUUGCGAAGGCAGCCUGCCAAGCCAUGACUGACGCUGAUGCACGAAAGCGUGGGGAUCAAACAGGAUUAGAUACCCGUGUAGUC